rnacentral:rRNA from 1 species
GAUCCUGGCUCAGGACGAACGCUGGCGGCGCGCCUAACACAUGCAAGUCGAACGGAAGUGUUCAGUCGGAAGUUUUCGGAUGGAAGAGUGGACAGUUUAGUGGCGAACGGGUGAGUAACGCGUGAGUAACCUGCCCUUCAGAGGGGGACAACAGUUGGAAACGACUGCUAAUACCGCAUAAGCCCACGGUGUCACAUGGCACAGUGAGAAAAGGAGAAAUCCGCUGAAAGAUGG